AGCCCAGUAGCCCACGCAAUCGUCCGUCUCCAACACAAUCCGCCGCCGCCGUCUCCUCCCAUCCCCGUCUCGCAUCCGCCGUCGGCCGAUUGACGAGUGUUUCCCGAAUUCUUCGUCCGCCGUCCCUCCCCGCACUCACGCACGCGUAGACCCAUCUUCCUCGCUCGCCUCGUUCCGUGGUUCCUGUACGAUUCAGGGGUCAAUUGAUGUCAGGUUCGGCUUCCAUCCAAACCGGCCGCCGGCCAGUCCACCGAGGGGAGAGUGACCACGCGAACCCUAGACGCCACGGAGAUGGAGCAUCUCCGCCGCCUCGCCCAGUUCUUGCUCGCCUCAGCUCGCGGGGAUGGAGCAGGACGGCGCCGCCCGUCCCCUCGCACCAGGCCCAGGACGACGGCGCCGUGGACGGCUGGGCGCGCGACGGCACGGAGUCCCCCCUCCCUUAUGGCGCUCCGGCAGAGUGCCCCGAGGCCGCAGAUCCUCCUCCCCUCCGCGGCUACGUCUCCUCGGCCGCUCGUGCGCGACCCUCAACUACUGCAGCGGUGGGAGGAGCCCUGCCACGACAUGCUCCCGCGAUCCUGCAUCCGCAAGAAAGCCACAUGGAUUGGGGAUAUGUACCUUGGUUUGGGUUUAAAGGGGCAAUCUUUGAGCAUUUGUAUAUCAACUAUCGAGGAUCUCAAGUUGACAUGGACCGCACUAUGAUCAAGUGCAUUCUGGUGCUAUGAUGAUUGUGACAGAAGAUGUUAGCUGCAGAAGCAAGCGCUAUGUCUCAGCUCCAAUAUUAAAAAUCAGUGCACCUGAAUUACGACACAAUUUUUGUCAUCUGAAACUGCGCUUAUAAGGUGUUUGGUCUGAAAGCUACGCUCCUGAAUACAAUGUGAUAUAAAAGGUUCAUGAAAUCAUCAGGUAUGGAAAUGCUUGACCGUUUUUGUAAGUUACUUAGUACAAUAUUAUCAGUUUGUUUUUUGCAUUAUUUCCCAGUUCUCUUGCAGUAAUAUUCAACAAGCUAUCUUCCUGCCUACUAGAUAAAAGAGGGGUUUUGUUUACUUAACAUGGUUGCCUGAUUAACAUAGUCAUGGUUUCUGUUAGUAUUUUUUCCACUACCAAAGCAACAACUUAUCUUCCUACCUACCAGAUAUACUAUUCCUUGAUUGCUUAGCUCCCGGCUUAAGAAGCUCCACCAUUCUUUUAUAUGAUAUUAGAAAAAAAUUGAGUUCUAACUUUGUUGAAAGACACGCACAAUUCUGAUGUUCUGGGGCCAAUGUUCAUUUCUAGAGGCAAAUACUCUCGGAUUUCUUAGUGAACUAUAAUCCCAUCUAGAUAACCCCCCUCGAUAUAGCUCCCUUUAUUUGCACGACACAAUCUAGCAUAUGACGGCUCUGAUUUGGAUUGUGCGUGUUUCUCCAAAAACUAGGAUUAUAUGCCUGAGAACAAACAAAUAGCAUUGUAAACUUACCUCAAAGCCUAUGGGUUGACUGAAGCUUGAUAAAUAGUUUCAGAUGCACUAUGGUCUCAUAACAGUAGAAAUAAAUUUCAAGGGAAAGAGAACCAUAAGUAUAGGUGAGUGCAUAGUAGAAGACGUGUAAUCGUGUUGCACUAUACUGUCUUUAUAGAAGCCGACAAAAUCAGAGACAUCCUAAAUUUGGUUUUCUGUUCUUGUCUGUUAAGAAAAGAAACAUUAACUCUUGGAUUAUCAGUAAGGGAAUAUGCCUUAUUAGCAUACUCUUAUGGUGGUUAUUAUUGCUCAACGUUGUGAGGAAAAAGAAGAAUAUUCAGAUUUUUCUAUUUGUGGUUAUAUCUUUUGGAUAAACAAUAGAAGGGUAAACUGCGAAGAAGAAACAUAAUGACCACCAGUAGUUAUAUCUUUAUUUUGAAUUAAUGAUAGCAAUAUUUUAGAAUAUUCAGAUUUUUUCAAUAUUUAUGGUGAUUAUAUCUUUUGCACAUUAACUCUGAAACUGAACUAUUUGUGUCGGGCUAGAGAAGCGUAAUUUCAAUACAAACUGCAAUUGCUUGGGCAAGAGAAAUCAACUCAAUACUACAAUUUUCCAUAUGAUGUAGUAAGAGGGGGCGUACCAUUGUAAACCGAUGUAGGGUGAAGGCUAGCCGCAUCUUUGGCGUGUGGUCAAACCCGGCAAGCUGCAACUAUGUGGAGCAUCCACAUUACUGCCACCACAUGCUUGCUAAAACAGUUAAUAUGUUCGUCCCCGUACAUCGGCCACAUCUUCGGCGAGCAUGCUUGAUGCCAAAAUCAGGCAACUAUUGUUGUAUUGAGUAUCCAGAGAUGAUAACCGUCAUGAAAAUCACUGCAUGGAUCGAUGAUAUCCCACACGGUCUUGUUUGCAUCAAAAGCGUGGCCCACUUUGGAUAAGAAUACACCAACCAUUUUGGUAAUGGGCAUCUCAACAGUUCUAUUUGGGCCUCAUUCCCCUAAUACGCUAGUAAUUGUCUCCUUUCCUGUAUUUCUCUUAGUCUCAUUCCCAAACACUUCAUGAUCUGAGAGAGGGAAUGCCAACAGCCAUGGCGGCAGUGUCCCCACCGUCCGUUCAUGCAACUUGAGAGGCUCUAGCGAUGACGCCUGAGAGGCAUCGCCGUCACUAAGUUUGCCACCAUCCUAGCCGCGACGACAAUGCGACAGAGCAUAUAGUGGAGGGCAGAGAAAGACAGUCGAGGGAGAUGGCUCAUCAGAAGAAUCCACAAAACGCGGAUGACCAGUGUAGUAGAGAAGAGGAUGAGGGAGAAUUACUGGGGAAGCCCAAGGGGACAAGCCAAGUGAGGUAGCCUCAGGUAAUGAACAAGGCGGGGAAGCCGCAGGUGAUGACGAACUUGAUAAAGAAGCCAUUAGAGGUAGAAGAAACUUCAAUCCCUAGGAAGUAGCAAAGAGGACCAAGAUUAGACAUAAGAAAUCCACUAUGACGAGCCUUCACAAAGGCAAAUGUACUUAGAGCCAUUGCCAGUGUUAUCGACAUAUAGAAGAAGAGUUCGACCACGAGUUGAAAGGUGGACAAGUGUAGGAUCAUGAGCACUCGCCGAAAACUAGCCGUAGUCACCAUCGAGACGAAACGUUCAAACCAGGCAUGAGAGGUUUGGUUAAGGCCAUAAAAAAGUGACGAAGACGACAAACCAUGUCAUCAAGAAGAGAAUACCCAGGUGGUGGCUACAUGUAGACCUCAUGCAACUCAACAUUAAGCCGAGAGACAGACCAGUGGUGAACAUAAGCCACAAUGAGAAGUGUGCGAAGGCCACGGGAGCAAAUGCUCAUUGUAGUCUUGGCCAUGUUCCCGAGGAAAGCCUCGCGCCACUAGAUGAGCUUUGUAACACUCAGGAGAACCAUCAGUGUAUUAACAUUAUAGACACACUUACAAGCGAUUGGACGAGCACGGGGAGGAAGAGAAAUGACAUCCCACGUGUCGAUGCGCACAAGAGCAACAAUCUCCUCUACAAUCGCAUGCCGCCAUUCGGGAUGAACAAAUGCGUCAUGAUAAGAAGUCGUCUCGAGAAAAGCGGCGCCAGAAUAACCAUAGUGGUCAAUAGGCGGAAGCGAGAGCUCGAAAGCCAUAAGUAGGCUGAGCUGGAGGCGGUGCAUUGCCAACAGGAGAGGACAUUGUAGUAGAGGGAAUGGCUCGUCAGAAGGAUCCAUAACACGCGGACCACAAGUGUAGUGAAGAUGAUGAAGGGGAAUCAUCGGGGAAGCCUCAUGGACGAGCUAGGUGAGGUAGCCUCAAGUAAUGAACGAGGUGGGGAAGCCACAUGUGACGACGUGUGGGGUCUAUAACAGUAGUACGGGAGGACACGCUGGGAUAGGUGGGCGAGGGCAAUAAAUGAGUGAUAAGUGUAUCGGGAAAAUUGAGGGAAGUAUCCUCAAUUGGGGGGGGGGCGAAGCAGAGGAUGGACGUGCAUAAAAAGGAUGAGACUCAAUGAGAAGUCACAUCUCGAGAAAUGCGCAUCCGAUUACUGACAAGAUCCCAACACUGAUAGCCCUUGUGCUCAUCACUGUAACCUAAGAAGACAUUCAACAGAUUGAUUAGACAGUUUGGUGCGUGAAGAAAGUAGCAAACACAACCAAACAAAGUGUUUAGUACUCCAUCCGUCCGAGAAUACUUGUCAGAGAAAUGGAUGCAUCUAGACAUAUUUUAGUUCUAGAUACAUCAUUUUUUAUCCAUUUGUGCGACAAGCAAUUCCGGAUGAAGGGAGCUGUCAGGGGAAUACCCACAAAGACGCUCAGAAUGUCACCAUGUAGAGCAAACAAGGGAUGAUUAUUGAUGAGAUAGGUGGCUACGAUCAUCAACGCACUAGCCGCCUCAUGAAGCUGGCGAUGCUUGCCUUAGCAACACCAUUCUGACCACGAGCACAAGACGAGAACUGAGCAAGUGUGCUUUUCUCAACAAGGAAUUCGUGCAGCAAUUGAGGGAUAUACACGAAAGGCAUGGAUAUGAGUGGAAAACUUAGUAUGAACCAAGGCGGCAAACUUCUUACAGAUAGACCUCACUACAAGAAGGCAUAAAAUAUAUCGACUUGUGUCGAGAGAAAUCAUUAUAAAGAUAAUAUAGUGGCGAUGGCCUCCUUUCAAGGCAAAGGCAGCUGGAUCCCAAAAAUCAGAGUGAACAAGAUCGAAAGGACGUGUUUACCCAACUAACAAUCUUGACUGUCUAAAGACACAUUACCAAAGACAGAUCCAAGGAGACCACGUCGAACUAAGGAUGAGAGUCAAGAACCACACAUGCGACUGCAACGAUCAUGCCAGAACAAGUGGGUAGACGAGGUAAGUGAGUCGAAGAGACUGGCGGCGGUGGUAGCGGAGGGAAGGCGAAGCCUGGCACACUCCAGAGGGCGUGUGAGUCAUAGCGCUGAGGGCCAACACCAAGUAGAGAACCCGUGUGCCGAUCCUAAAUCGGAACAAGAGUCGAAGUCGAGAAUGACCCUACAACCAAAUUAAAAAUCUAACCUCCUGAAAUGAGCUACCUGUUAAGUAUCAUUAGCAGUAAGAACAUGUACAUGAGAAUUUAGAGGGCCAUUGCGGUGUCGACUGCCUGUGCGGCUAUGGCGACGCGCUACAGGUAACACGAGAUGUGGGAUUGAGGCGUCACACAUAGCAGCCCAAAGUCAGGCGAAGGAUGCCCAGCUAGACUGGUAGGGAGCAGAGAGUACACGUGAGGUGUGGCGGAAGGUAAGAAAACAUUGUUGGGAGCGGACUGUCGUUGCCGUCGUUUGUUGUACUUGGAGACAAGCGUCGAGGGGAUGGCGAUUAGGGAAGGCGAGAAGAUGGUACUGGGAGGAGAAAGGCAUCAUUUGCCACCGUACAUACAUAUGUGCGCCAGUCAUGACGGUGGAUGGUUGUGGGCAAAUCUGGUAUCUGCAUGUGGGUUUGUUACUAGGCUUUGUUGGAUCAUAGUUAUGAUUUGUGCUAGAUUCCUUCCUUUGAAGAUUGAAGCUGGAGAACUUUAGGGUGUAGUAUGAUCAACCUGAGAUAUAUCGGAUUUAUAUAGGUAUAGUAUGAUUGGCAUGAGUGUGGUAUUGGUGGACUAUUGGAUCAUCUUGGAUAUUACUACUUGGAUUCUAGGUUGGAGGUAACUUGGGCACUAGGAUUUGUGAUAUUUUGACCUAAGCUUAUGGAUAUGGGCAUGUAGAUGAUAAAUGGAUCGGAGUUGGUAGACUUUGAUGAUUUUGCUAGCCCUCCUCAUAUGUAUUGGACUUAAAUAACUAUGAUACUAGGCUUGGUUGGAUCAUAGUUAUGAUUUGUGCUGGAUUCCUUCAUUUGAAGAUUGAAGCUAGAGAACUUUAGGGUGUAGAGUUAUCAACGUGAGAUAUAUUGGAUUUAUAUAGGUAUAGUAUGAUUGAAAUGAGUGUGAUAUUGGUGGACUAUUGGACCAUCUUGGAUAUUGCUACUUGGAUUGUAGGUUUAAGAUAAGUUGGGCACUUGGAUUUGUGAUAUUUUGACCUAAGCUUAGUAGCUUGUAUGUGCCCCAUAUGAAUAUGAGCCAUGGAGAUGAUACAAAUGGAUCGGAGUUGGUAGACUUCGAUGAUUUUGCUAAUUCUCCCCAAAAAUGUUAUGUACAAGAUCAUGGCCGUGGAGGGAAAACUAGGCAUGACUCAACCCAAUGUAUAAGAAGAAAUAUGAUUUUGACCAUGCGAAUGGAAAUACAUGUACAUGCAGUGCCAACGGAAAAAAUGUUAAUUUAGGGGAUUCUGGUACGAAGCCACCUUGCAAGAGGUUAUUGAGUGUAGGCAACCUUGUGUUGGUGAAGGACCCUUCCUUGGCGCCGAGGGAAAUGAAGUGACAGGGGUCUUAUGACUGUGAGGGCAAAAUUGGGAUGAGUAACUCAGCUCAGGGUUCCUCUUUGCAAGUUCAAGUGAAAAGGCAGAGGAUGGCAGGGCGUGCCGCUCUUGAUAGCGUUUGCAUCGCUUCUUCAUACCUCUCAUGCACUCUUCGUUUCCCGCCGAUUCGACUUGGCGUCCUUACCUUGUUUGAGGGUUAUGUGUCACGGACUUGGUUUCGCAUCGCACGUUCCCUUGCUGGAAGUCCCUAGCCUUGGUGACAGGUAGCGACGUGCACUUGGGCGCUUGGCGUCCUUGGGUAAGUUCGGGGGCGGUGCCCAAGCUUGCAGCUAUGGCGACAACUUGCUUGGGAGCAGAUGAUGUAGGAACAAGGCAGCACACGAGUAACUCGCAGCCAGGGAAAUGAUACCUAGCCGUACAUGCAGGCAGUGGAGAGUACACGGGAGGUGUGGGUAGGGGUGAAAAUGUUGUCGGGAGCAUACUGCUGCUGCCAUUUGUUAGCCUUUAGAUCUAGAGCCGAGUGGCGAAGGUAUGACGACAGGGGAAGCGGGGAAGAUUACUUCCUUUGAAGAUUGAAGCUGGAGAACUUUCGGGUGUAGUAUGAUCAACCUGAGAUAUAUCGGAUUUAGAUAUGUAUAGUAUGGUCGGCAUGAGUGCGGUAUUGGUGGACUAUUAGAUCAUCUUGGACAUUACUACUUGGAUUCUAGGUUGGAGGUAACUUGGGCACUUGGAUUUGUAAUAUUUUGACCUAAGCUUAGUAGCUUGUAUAUGCCCCAUCGGAUCAUCUUGGAUAUUACUACUUGGAUUCUAGGUUGGAGGUAACUUGGGCACUUGGAUUUGUGAUAUUUUGACCUAAGCUUAGUAGCUUGUAUGUGCCCCAUAUAUGGAUAUGAGCAUGGAGAUGAUACAAAUGGAUCGGUGUUGGUAGACUUUGAUGAUUUUGCUAGCCCUCAUGUGUAUUGGACUUAGAUAACUAUGAUACUAGGCUUGGUUGGAUCAUAGUUAUGAUUUGGUGCUAGAUUCCUUUGAAGAUUGAAGCUGGAGAACUUUAGGGUGUAGUAUGAUCAACCUGAGAUAUAUCCGAUUUUUAUAUGUAUAGUAUGAUUGGCAUGGGUGCAGUAUUGGUGGACUUUUGGAUCAUCUUGGAUAUUACUACUUGAAUUCUAGGUUGGAGAUAACUUGGGCACUUGGAUUUGUGAUAUUUUGACCUAAGCUUGGUAGCUUGUAUAUGCUCGAUAUGGAUAUGAGUAUGGAGAUGAUACAAAUGGAUCGGAGUUGGUACACUUUGAUGAUUUUGCUAACCCUCCCCAAGAAUGUUAUGAGUACAAGAUCAUCAUGGGAGGAUGAUUUGGAUUAAUUAGAAUAGAUGGCAAUUUCAGUGGUAUGUGCCUUUUUGGGGCAACUGAUCUUGCUUUUAUUAUGUGUUGGAUGCAAUAGUAGUUGGAGAGUAUGACUUAUGAAGUGAUAUUAUAUUCUUGGAUAAAUAGAUCUUUAAUAAACCUUGGGUGAUUGUGAUCUUGAAAAAAAUCUCGUGGAUGAUAAUUUUUCUAAUUUUUUUAUCUAUAGUCAUCAAGUGCAAGCUUGCUUUAUAUUGGACUUCCAAACCGUGAUACUAAGCUUGGUUGGGUCAUGAUUAUGAUUUGUUCUAGAUUCCCACCUUUGAAGAUUGAACCUGGAGAACUUUUGGGUGUAGUAUGAUCAACGUGAGAUAUAUUGAAUUUAUAUAGGUGUAGUACAAUUAGCAUGAUUGUGGAAUUGGUAGACCAUUGGAUCAUCUUGGAUUGAAUUACUUGCAAGGAAACAAAGAUCUUUGAGUAAUAGAAAUGGUGUUUGGUUAGAUGAUAUAACUACUUGGAUUCUAGGUUGGAGAUAAAUUGGGCACUUGGAUUUGUGAUUUUUUUUACCUAAGAUUAGUAGCUUGUAUGUGCCCCAUGUGGAUUCGAGCAUCGAGAUGAUACAAAGGGGCAGACUUUGAUAGUUUUGAUGGCCCUCCGUGAGAAUGUUAUGAGUACAUGAUCAUCAUGGAAGGAUGGUUUGGAUUAAUUAUAAUAGAUGGCAAUUUUGUUGGUAUGUUCCUUGUUGGAGCAGCUGAUCUCGAGAAAUGCGCAUCCGACGACUCACCAGAUCCGAACACCGACAACCCUUGUGCUCAUCACUAUAACCUAAAAAGACACACUCAACAUAUUGAUCAGACAAUUUGGUGCGUGAAGAACGUAGCAGAAGCAACCAAACAAACAAAGUGUUUAGUAGUUACGAGAAUGCCACAAAGACGCACGAGAGGAAUAGAACCGUGUAGAGCAGAGGAAGUAUGAAUGUUGAUGAGAUAGGUGGCUACGAUCAUCAACGCACUAUCCGCCUCAUGAAGGUGCCGAUGCUUGCGCUCAGAGCGGCACCAUUCUGAGCCUGAGCACGAGGGUAAGAGAACUGAGCAAGUGUGAUAGCUUGCAUGUGCCCCAUAUGGAUAUGAGCAUGGAGAUGAUACAAAUGGAUCGGAGAUGGUAGACUUUGAUGAUUUUGCUAACCCUCCUCAUAUGUACCGGACUUAGAUAACUACGAUACUAGGCUUGGUUGGAUCGUAGUUAUGAUUUGUGCUAGAUUCCUUCCUUUGAAGAUUGAAGCUGGAAAACUUUAGGGUGUAGUAUGAUCAACCUGAGAUAUAUCGGAUUUAUAUAGGUAUAGUAGGAUUAGCAUGACUACGGUAUCGGUGGACUAUUGGGAUCGUCUUGGAUAUUGCUACUUGGAUUCUAGGUUGGAGAUAACUUGGGCACUUGGAUUUGUGAUAUUUUGACCUAAGCUUAGUAGCUUGUAUGUGCCCCAUAUGGAUACGAGCAUGGAGUUGGUAGACUUUGAUGAUUUUGCUAACAACCCUCCCCCCCACCCCACCCCAAGAAUGUUACGAGUACAAGAUCAUCAUGGGAGGAUGAUUUGGAUUAAUUAGAAUAGAUGGCAAUUUCAAUGGUAUGUGCCUUUUUGGAGCAGCUUAUCUCGCGUUUAUUAUGUCUUUGUGCUAGUUUAGAUGCAAUAGUAGUAGGAGGGGGUAGCAUAGGAGGCACACCUCCCCCUUGCCACCGUCAAGGCCGAAACCUGGCGAGAGGGAGACAUGCAUGAGCGGGUCGGGGCAGAAAGCACAAGGCUGCACUUUAGCAUCUUCAUCGGCACCUCGUUGGGGUCGUCCACCCAUGCCCUGACAACAAAGUACGAGAGGUCGAGCCUGUCGAAGGAUUCAAUGGCCAUAUGGUAGAUUAGGCAUUCGGGCAACAGUUCUUGGGCGGUUUGAGGCGAGAACUCCCGCAGGGGAUGCGUUGGAUGGACAACCCAACGCUGUAGCAGCAUUGAACCGAUGUGGCGAAGGUUAUCUUGUUCGACCGCCACACUAGGAGCAGCGUGCCGCGGUAGUGUACUGCGUCCACCCCACGAACCAUGUCGAACCACCGGUAGUGCGUGAAGCUAGCGAAGAAAGAUCCUAGCUGCAUGAGAGAGACCUGAAAGCCGUUUGUUCGAAAGCUCCGGGAAGUCGUCCUUGAUGCCCUCAACAAUUUUUACCAGGAUUAGAGACGACCUCGUACCCGCCACCAUGAGCACCAGCGCCAAAUCCCAUAGGUAAGAACAUAUCCUCGAUGAGGCACCUCGUCUUGCGCGAGCGGGUGUUGCCCCUCGCUGGGUCGUACGCGAACCUAGCCGACAUGGAAGGCUCCAGCGACGAAGGGGCGGGUGGCUCCUUGUCGGGAAAGGUGAACCUGGAAUGAGUCGGCGAUUCGGGUGGUCGAGGGGUUGGGGGGACCAGCCUGGAUUGGACUGACUAGCGGAGGCGGCGGGGGUGGCAGCUGCACUCACGGCCUUGGCGGUGGUCAAGGCGGGGCUAAGAGUAGUGAUGGACUCAUUAGCGGCGGCCAGGUCAUCAUGGCGGCGCGUGAAGUUCCUUCUGAAGCACAUCCUCUAGCCCAAGUGGUACAUUUGUUCAUUUGUGAUAUGUUCUGUUAGUGUUAUGUUCUCGUUGUCUCUUGCUCUGUUUCUCUUGCCCAUAGGUACAUUUGUUCAUUUUCGUAGACCUGCUAUGUUCUAUUGUAAUUCGAGUUCAAAUGUCAAGUUGCGCCGCCACAAAAUGCUGCUACUUUAACUUCUGUAAGCGCAGCGAGCAGCAUAGGCAGCCGCUGCAGCUGCUCACAUGGAACGUAUGCCCUGUUGCAGCCUCGCAGGUACCCACACCUCUCCCUCCUCUUGAUUUGAUCCCCGUAAAUUCUCAGCUUUAUUUCUGUGGAUUUUUGUUUUAUCUAUGCCUGUUAUGUCUUUGACAAAAUCCAAGCAGAUUGAGGGGAAGAUCUUGUGCUUAGUUUUUUUACUCAAGUAUUUCAUCUUUCUCUCAAAUUUAGCUCCAAUGAAUUGAUUUUUUUUGGCAUCACUUUUUUCCCUGGAGAUCAUUAUCAUCUCAUCUCACCACACUCAUGCCACAUAACCUGGCGAGCUCACUCCUUACUCAUUCUAUGUACCACAUUUGUAGAUCAGUUUAAGGUACUGUUAAUGAACCAAAGUUUAUGUUGUUGGCCUUGCCAAAAUGCCAUGCAGCUUAACAUUCGACACUUCCUUCAAAGGGGUCCUUCAGCCUCCAAGGAGAAGGGAAGUGAUGUCUGACAGGGAAAGAAACUAGGCGAAGCUCUGGAUGCUCGAUCGAGUACGCACCCAAUUAGCACUCUACUUCGUCGGUUGUCCACUGAAAUUUGCUCCAUGACAUCUUGCUUGCCAUGUGGUCACCUUACCUCAAAUUUGCUCCAUGACAUCUUGCUUGCCAUGUGGUCACCUUACCUCAAAAUUGACAUAUUAUAAUCUAUGAACUACUACAAGUAAACUAUACAACCAAAUGAUUGUUCCAAAAAUUCAAAUUUGCACCAUGCUUUCCACCUGAUCUGCCAGUUUAACUAUCUUAAUUGUACCGCAGACAUUUGAUGUGUGGUAGUACGUGUGUGAUGAAUCAUGGUGUAGUAGCAAACUACCAACUGAAUUUUUUGACAUACAAUGGAUUUCUUUCUGCCUCUAUUUGAUGCUCGGUGGUGCUGAUCUGAAGGUCCGUGCGGACCCUGCUCUGGACAUAUGUCUCCUUAAUUUCCGUGUGCAAUUGUGCAAUCCAUGCUUUACACUUUAAAAUGAGACAAUAAAAUUUAGCUCAUGUUGCCCUUCCAUCAUGCACCCAGAAUAUAUUACCUUUCUGCUUUUUAUAUUUUGGUUGGGCAUGUUUCAUGAUCAGAGGAUUGAUGAUUUGUUAUGCUAGACAAUGGAAAUAAGAUUUGGUGGAAAACAAAUGAUAUGAUAGGUGAUUUAUGAUGUACUACUAUUUUAGAUAAUAAUACUAAGCUUUUAUUUGGUUGUUCUGCAUUUUUUCCCUUUGCAAAGAUAGAUAUUAUAAGAGAUAAACAUCAUGUACAGGUUAACUUUUUAUGUGCCUAUUAGUAUGCCUUGCUGCCAGGUGGAAAUAGUCUAUAUGAUGCUCAUAAAUAGAGCUUCCUGGUGGGAAGGAUGAGGCACACUCAUUGAUACUUUGGUUUUAUGUCCAUUUGUUAUACAGUUUUUCUCUUCCAAGCAUAUAAACUUUAGCAAAUUAGAGUGUGCAAUCAAGUCUCCUAAGUGAACAGUUUUACCAUAUUAUCAAGUUUGAGGGCAUAUACGAUACGAGCAUAUAAGAUAAGAGCAUGUCAUGCUACAUGAAAAUCUGCCUGGAGAUCUAAUUUCGUAUUUUUUUCUAUUUUGUCGGUUAGAAAACCAGUUUCCUGAGUUGUUAGUCUGAGUAUUCAAAUUGAUCCGCAGAGUUCAGGGCUUCUGGAUGGAAGAGUUUCCUACAACGUCAAAAUCUUAGUACUCUCUACAUAGACUUCGUAAUUAUGCCCGACUUUUUCUGAAGAAUUGAUGAAGUAUCUUUUAUUUGGGUUGUUUGUGCAUUUGCAGUGUUGGAGGUGUUAGUGCAAGAUUGUAGAGUUGGAAAGUAUAGUACAACGUCAAGUCGGUGCAGGGACUUGGUGAAGUCAUCAGCCUCGACUGUGUCUACUUCCCCGAUGGUUUUGACUUCUGACUAGUGAUUCUGAUGCAUAUUACUUGAUGAUUUGGUCUUUGUGGCAGCUUUCAGUUUGAACUGGCAUUCAGUGGCUUCAUCCUCUUUGGUGCAGCCUGGAGUUAGUAGUGUGCACAUCUGAAUCUCUUGACUUUUUCCUGAAGCAUAUUACGUGGUUUAUGGUGUCUGCUAACUUGCAUGCGGUUUUGAUGGAAUCUGAUCUCGUUUUUAGCUCCCAGUAUAUACAAAAGGCUAGAAGUAAAUGAUGGAAGAUCCUUUUGCUCAAACGAGGGUCCUACUUUCAUACCCAAAGUUUGUAUAGUAGAUAAUCAAAUUUUGGCCUUUAGCUUGCAAAUGUAUCACCUUAUAGAAGUAAAGGUUGCAUCUACAUGAGCUCUGAUUAUCUCCAUAUAUACUUGAAUUGCUUUGGGGUCACGCUUGGAUUUAUCAGACUACCAUUCUACAUACUGUUCUCGAUGAUUGCACUUGGUUUGUUAAUUUAUGUACCUUAUGUCAAAAAACAUUAUCCAAAAUUAGUUUUUGGUAUACGCAGACUUUGAAAUUUGUUGAUAAAGAAAGAUCACGCCUAAUUUGCUCGCUCUCUGUUGACACUUAACCUGGCCUCCUGACUUUGUAGUUGGAUAAUGUUGAUGACUCGAUAUGCGGAGAGAGGUUAGGAAUUGUUGCUAUGGAUUAAAACAAUGCAGAGUUGAAGGUUCUGAACUGGGAACUUGAACAAAUAGUUUGCCUACCUUUCUUGUGGAAUUGAUUUUUUAGAAGUGAAUGUUCUUCUGGUUGGUGCUUCUUCAGUGGGAUCUGGACCAUGGAAUCUUCAAUUGCAUCUGCUUGGUUCACUGGGAAUUUCCUAGUUUUAAUUUGAUUGACAACUAGCAAAACAGUCCGGCUAAUUUGAUGAUUAAUUCCUGCUGAUUGUACACUUUCAACUCAAGUUCCUGCUGAUUCUACACUUUCAACCCAAGUUACAUUGUACCAUAUGCCAGUUUGUUUCAUACCUCGUCCAUCCUGGAUUUUUAGACGCAAAGCAUCUGGAUUUUAAAACAAGAAAUAACAUGUCUUUAACAAAAUUAUUCACACAAAGAUCAUGCCCAAGAUUGAAUCUCUCAUCUUUAAAAUAAAUUUGGACAGCAGGGAUCUCUCAUCUUUACAGUAAAUUUGGACAGCAGGGAUCUCUCAUCUUUACAGUAAAUUUGGAUAGCAGGGAUGAUCAGUAGAAAAGCUAUGAUAGCAAGGAAGUGGUGUUUCUGAACUCGAGCACACAUGUGCUCUUUAUCUGGGCGGUUCGUCAUAGCAUUGGGAUGCGGUGCAUUUACUUUCUGCGUCAGGCUGUUGUUCACUGGAAAAGGGGGAAAUGCAGAAAUACGGCCGACGGGUAUCUUGUACGGUGGGCCAGGUUUGUGGCGGAGGAGCACCUCCUUUAACGAUUCAAAACAGGGUCGUGGCUCAUGCCGUCAUUCCCGUCCUGAUCCGUGGAUCAGGUUUAGGGCCUCAGUAGCCAAGUAAAUGGAGGGAUGGGUUGCUGGGCAGAGUUCUCUCCUACCUCCGGCUCCUGGUUUUUCCUAUUAUCGAGUGGGGCUAGAUGGGCGGCGGAGCUUCUAUUCGAAGGAAACAAAGGCUAGCGCAGAAGAUGGAAUUUCUGAUGCAAUUGAUUAAAAGAACCACCAUGCUGGAGGACGUUAACGAUGGCAAUGUACUCAUGGAGCCACUACACUGCCAGUGGUCGCAACCGUUGCAGAUCCGCUGCCGCCAUGGGCGGCAGCUAGUACGGAAGGCCAGAUCUGUGCGGCUGAUGGCGUGGUCGAUACUGAAAUCGAUGGUUUACUGCAAGCAUCUGAGCAGUCGAUUACUUGAUUUGUUAGAUCGACCCAAAAGCCCCAGCAUGGACUCGAAGUGGGGAUCGGUGCUGCCGCACCAGGAAGGUCACCUUGUCCUAAUCGCACUAGUGCACUGGAGAAGGCAAUUCAUGGUUUUGCGGAAAAUCCAGGAGAUGAUGUGAUUGUCCCUGCACUAGGAACAAGCUGAUUGUUUGAGUGAAGCCUUCGACUAUUGCCAUUGGACUUCGAUUCUUUUGGGUGAAGCAUAUGACUUUUACAAGCUUCGGUUCUUUGACAAAUCUAUAUUUUAGUAAUCCUCCUUAUUUUCUGAAACUGAUGUAUGGUGGUAUGAUGUACUCCCUCCGUCCCAAAAUUCUUGUCUUAGAUUUGUCUAGAUACGGAUGUAUCUAACACUAAAACGUAACUAUAUACAUCUGUAUUUAGACAAAUCUAAGACAAGAAUUUUGGGACGGAGGGAGUACAUUGAAAUGGAUUUCUAAAGUGACAGUAAAUUAGACAACUAUUUUACGAUGUGUAGCCAAAAGCCAAAAGGAUAAUUGCACUAUUAUCAGAAUCAAAUAUGAUUUCAGUCUGGAGAAAAUCUGCCUUUUCUUCUUCCUUUGUGACUUCCAAUAGUCUAAAUCAAAAGCCACUGGGUUGUACUGUUUUUCAGUGCAUUUUGAAAGUUGUUAACAAAAAGUAGGAACAAAUGACCCAAUUUCUUUGCAUUCAUUUUUGUUGGGUUUGCUUUCUUUUCACCUUCAUUCUGUACUUUUGUGCUUUUGUACUGACUUUGCAUACUCCGAAUCCUAGUAUUUUGUAUGCACUAGCAACUUCACACUUAGAUAAUUAUUCUUGUGGUCACACUGAAGCUGUUAUUUCACCAUUACAAGUUGUACUGAUUGUCACCGUACUUUGUGAGCCGUGCUGUCGUCAUGUUGUAGCGAUUUUUCCUGAGAACGAUGAACUACCAUCUGUUUUCCUAUUAAUCUUCAGAUCUUCUCGAAUGUUUUAUGUUUACAGAGGUACUGCCACAUCUUAGCUUUUGCAGAUGAAUUGAUAUGCGUCUUUGGUUGGCUGACCAAACAUGGUAACACUGUCAACUAAACCAGACCGCGUUCAGAAAAUAGUUGAGUGCGGUAUUUGAAACAUGGCGUGAAGCCGUGAACCAUCUGCACACCUGAACUUGAGUUUGAAUCUUGAAUUUCGGAACUGUUGAGCGGGAAAAGCUUUGGAUUUCUAUUGGAUGUUCAAUAGAAAAGCCAUAAUAGCAUACAUACUUCAUAGUUCAGAAUAUUCAUAGGAUGUGCAAGACAAUCAUAAGUACCAUUCUAAAUGACAUGCUCGGCCUUUGGCUUUUGGAUCAGACCUGGAAAUCACGAGCACCCACAUGCUCCCAAGAAACUACAGAACAUCCAACAUAUAAAUCUUUUUUUUGUUCAUAUGAUGUACUCUGGCUCCAGAUUUUAUGGCAAAGCAUCCAAAAGACGAACCAAGCAUCCAAAUUUUCUGACACCCGAGACAAAGAACUGCAGACCAACAAAGGCCGAGCUCCAAAAGCUAAACUCUAACCAGACAAGAACAAAUCUACUACUCCAGUAGAUACCCUAUUACAAGGUCCCACCAGGGUCACAAUCUGAGUGACAAAUUGCAUGUUCAUGUAUAUGAAAAUAGAGCAAUGUGAAGCAGGGAAGAACAUGUUGCUUUGUUGACACAUUUAAGUUGCUGGCAGGGAAGAACAUGUUGCUUUGUUGACACAUGUGAGUUCAUCCCUGCAGUGCGAAGUCACCGCCCCCAACGGCAUACUACAGUCAUAGUUGGCGGCAGAAGCAACGACAAGAACGACGAUGAAGCACGCGGACCAGGAGGGGAGAUGGAGAUGGACCUGCAAGAUGGAUGAUGAUGAAUGUCUUUUGGUUUCCAUUAAAUAUAUAGCAGGAGAACACUUGUAAUGCUAGCUUGUAGCCAGUCAUGGUGGCGGAGUUUACGGGCAUUAACUGACUGCUAAAUUUUCCUGUAGACUGCAAACUAAUUCAUGAUGAGCUACUCCAGCUAGUCCAAGAUUAUAUUAGGAGAUAAUCAUGACAAGUAAUUACUAUCUCCAUUCAUAAAUACACAACAUUCUAGAA